GAUGAACGCUAGCUACAGGCUUAACACAUGCAAGUCGCGGGGCAGCAUGGGGGUUGCUUGCAAUCCCCGAUGGCGACCGGCGCACGGGUGAGUAACGCGUAUCCAACCUGCCCUUCACCACGGGAUAACCCGGCGAAAGUCGGACUAAUACCGUAUGUUGUCCAUUGACGGCAUCCGAUUUGGACGAAAGGUUUGGCGGUGAAGGAUGGGGAUGCGUCCGAUUAGCUGGACGGCGGGGUGACGGCCCACCGUGGCGACGAUCGGUAGGGGUUCUGAGGGGAAGGUCCCCCACACUGGAACUGAGACACGGUCCAGACUCCUACGGGAGGCAGCAGUGAGGAAUAGUGGUCAAUGGGCGUAAGCCUGAACCAGCCAAGUAGCGUGCAGGAUGACGGCCCUAUGGGUUGUAAACUGCUUUUAUGCGGGGAUAAAGUGGCCCACGUGUGGGUUUUUGCAGGUACCGCAUGAAUAAGGACCGGCUAAUUCCGUG
rnacentral:rRNA from 1 species